rnacentral:rRNA from 1 species
UGCAGUCGAGCGGAUGAAGAGAGCUUGCUCUCUGAUUCAGCGGCGGACGGGUGAGUAAUGCCUAGGAAUCUGCCUGGUAGUGGGGGACAACGUUUCGAAAGGAACGCUAAUACCGCAUACGUCCUACGGGAGAAAGCAGGGGACCUUCGGGCCUUGCGCUAUCAGAUGAGCCUAGGUCGGAUUAGCUAGUUGGUGAGGUAAUGGCUCACCAAGGCGACGAUCCGUAACUGGUCUGAGAGGAUGAUCAGUCACACUGGAACUGAGACACGGUCCAGACUCCUACGGGAGGCAGCAGUGGGGAAUAUUGGACAAUGGGCGAAAGCCUGAUCCAGCCAUGCCGCGUGUGUGAAGAAGGUCUUCGGAUUGUAAAGCACUUUAAGUUGGGAGGAAGGGCAUGCACCUAAUACGUGUGUGUCUUGACGUUACCGACAGAAUAAGCACCGGCUAACUCUGUGCCAGCAGCCGCGGUAAUACAGAGGGUGCAAGCGUUAAUCGGAAUUACUGGGCGUAAAGCGCGCGUAGGUGGUUCGUUAAGUUGAAUGUGAAAUCCCCGGGCUCAACCUGGGAACUGCAUCCAAAACUGGCGAGCUAGAGUAUGGUAGAGGGUGGUGGAAUUUCCUGUGUAGCGGU